rnacentral:tRNA from 1 species
GCCGACUUAGCUCAGUUGGUAGAGCAACUGACAGGUCGCCAGUUCGAUUCCGGCAGUCGGCACCA